UAGGCCUACGGGGGGCAGCAGUGGGGAAUAUUGGGCAAUGGGCGCAAGCCUGACCCAGCAACGCCGCGUGAAGGAAGAAGGCUUUCGGGUUGUAAACUUCUUUUCUCAGGGACGAAGAAAGUGACGGUACCUGAGGAAUAAGCCACGGCUAACUACGUGCCAGCAGCCGCGGUAAUAGGUAGGUGGCAAGCGUUAUCCGGAUUUACUGGGUGUAAAGGGCGUGUAGGCGGGGAAGAAAGUGAGAUGUGAAAACAACGGGCGCAAACGGUG
rnacentral:rRNA from 1 species